UUAUUUAGUGUUGAAAGCAUAUAGAUCAAACCUCUAACCAUUCCGAAUUAGAGUGUUAAACUGUAUUCCGAGGACAAUACUCCGAGAGAAGUGUCUGGGAACGAUACUCGAAUGCUAAAUUU
rnacentral:rRNA from 1 species